UUAGUAGAUCAGAUUUGACCUGAAUUAAACAUGAAGCUCAAAAAAUACAGUAAAACAAUAUUAAGAGAUCUGACUUACCAUAAAGUCAAAGCUUCCAUGCUAUGUGUGCAGCCAUCUCCUUCUCAUCGCUCAGUUCAGCACCGCUCACGGCACUCGGUGUCCCGCGGUGGUGGCAAAGCCUUGCUAUCGGAGGUGGGUCCUUCGUUGUGAACAGGAGUGGUGUUUUGUCCUCUCUGAAGUCACAGAGUCAAAUAAUCAUAAAGGUUGGAAAAGACCACCAAGAUCUUCCAGUUCCACCAUCAACCCAUCCAUCUACACUAUGCCCACCAAGAGUUUCAGUGCUAUGAAAUUGAAAUGCAAAAGCGCAAGGAAAUGAAAACAGUGAGUCUCAGUAUUAGCUUCAUUUCUAUAAGACUCAUAUCUAUCAUCCUCUCCUGCACUCUAUUAAUAACAUUUAUGCAGGAAUCUCUACAGAAUGGGCUGAGCAGCCUCGCAGCACCCAUAUAACCCAGAGACAAUAUAAAAAGGGGGAAAAAACUCCUUUAGAUGUUAAUUGGGAUAUCUUUAGCAGAAAAUUCAAAAUGUUUUCUUACAUAUGGACAUCUGAAAACAAAACACAACAGCACAAUAAAUGUGUGUAAAUAGUUCAUUAGUUACAGUAUAUUCUAUAGUAGGACAUUACAUGGUUCCUAGGUUUGACUGUUGCAAUAAAACUUGUUUGUGUCUUUUAAGUGGUUCGUUUCCAUGCAGCUCCUUACAAGGUGGCACCUUCCCAGCCUCUCUCAUUAAUCUACUGCUUCAGGUUCCAGAUAGCGAAAGGGAAACUCUGCAAAUGAGACUGAAGAUACGCUUUGUAAUUAAUACCCCUGUGUAAGAGGAUAAACUAUUUCAACUUUCAACUGUUAAUCUGGAUUUUUUGCAACUCUCUACUAUUUCUUUUUAAACUUUGUCUGGAUUUUAAGGAUAUUUCCAGAGAUGUGCAAAUUAUGAACCAGGUAGAUGCAUGCUCUGACUGCUUCCAUUAAUGUGUAUCUGCUAUGCAAAAGCAAUAGGCGUGAGAGGAGCUUUGCUGGCUCAGCAGGAGAUGUGCAUCAAAAAUGCCUUUGGACACAAGACAUAUGCAAACAUCUCUGCUUUAAUCAAGGCAGGGCAUGUGUGUGAAAUUGGCAUUGCUGCCAACUAGGUUCUUUAUAUGCCAUCUUCAUCUGUUUGGCCACCCUACCCAAGCUACUGCAAUGGCCUUCAAUCAGCUUUUUGAAAAUCAUGGAGAAGAUUUGCACACAGGCACUGUAGACACAAAUCUGCUUUAUGUAAGAAGAAAAUGGCAGUAGUGGCAUUUUCACUUUUAAUGCAUCACCUCCAAAAUGAGGAAAUAACACAAGUUGCUAAUGUCCGUAUAAAUGAUAUAUGGGUACAUGUUAUAUAAUGCAUAAGCAUUUCAGAAGUACUUUCUUCCCCCAUUUUGAGGGAGGCUGACAGUUUUGCUUGUAAUUCAGACAAGUUUAAGGUUUCUUCUUUAACAUUUGGGGUAGGAAUCUGGAGCUGAGAGGAGGAAAGAACGUUCUUCGUAUUCUGUAUUAAGACACUUCUGAAUUAGUCCUCACUGUGGUUUUCCAGAAUUGGUUUACUGCUUUGUUGUACAAUUAGGUGCAAGUCUGGCAAUUAAUUUUCUGAGUCCUAAUGUACCAGUUGCCCCAGAGGACACUACUCAAAUAUUUGGGACAUUAAAUUCAGAGUUCUCCCAGGCAUUAAAACCCGUGGAGCCAGCAGAGGCAACGGUUUGGUGGUACCCACCUUUCCCAAGAGCUCUUUCUAAGCUCCCACUCCCUCUCUCUCUGGCUUGCAGGGGCACAUUAACUCUUGACUUUUUGUUUGUAUCCCCAGAUGCUCCGUUAUGGCUAAGGAGUUCACCUUUUUGUCUCCCUAAUUGUCCAGGUGAUUAUCUUAAGUUAAACGCUAAUUUCUUUACAGGACGGACAAAGCUUCAAGUUUUUUGUUUUCUUUGCCAGACCUGUAGAAGCAUUUAAGUGCUUGAAAGCUUGUUCAUUUUCUCCAAAUGCUAUUGGUUGUGUGAAAGAUACUGUCUCUCCAAAUCAUGCCCCAUUGGUUUUCCUCUGACUAUUCUGCCUGCAUCCAGUGCACUCUAUCAGCUUUUGCCCACUAUUUUCUCUUUCUUACCUUAAAGUGGAUCUCUGUUUGUUGACUUGAUUUGUUGAACUGUUAUUCUGAAUCCUUCAGAAGGUUCUUCAUUGUUUAAUAAAAACUGGAUUGAAACUGAGAAUUCCAAACAUGACAUCCGAAGCCCACAAUUAAAUUAACAUUUAAUUAUGAUGCAUGACUACGAUCAGAUUAUGAUACCAGCAUUCAAACUCGCUCUUACAUUUCAUGGUUUCUUCUCUCCAUUUAAUAGUUACUUCUCAGAAGUCAAGUUAGAUAGUUCAUCAGGAUAGUACUUGUUAAAGUAUUUGCUCCUUCUCUAAAUAAGCAUCAUCUUCAUCAGAUCAAACCCCAAGGGGGUUUCAUAUUUAACUAUUUAAUCUAUGGGUAUCUCCUUUCAGUGGCAGGAACCAAAGAGCUGUAGGUCCAAUGGGUUGUUUAGACUUAAAAGACAAAAAAAAAAAAAAAAAAAAAACCCAAACAAACAAAUCAGACCAAAAAAAGAAAAAGAAAAAAAAACAACCAAAGUAACAAAUGCUUUCCACCAGAGUUUAGUUUCCAGGAAACAGGAAAAACUCCAGGAAACAAGAACUUUGACAUAAGCCAAGAGGUACCCUGUCAUAAUCAAACACAAGAUAAUUUACUAAAUACAGGAGUGCUGAGAUGAUCAUAAAAUCCUGCAGUCCUUUCUAGCUAUAAAUGUAAUUCAUUUUCUUAUAUAAGAUGCAUCUGAGGCAUCACUCUAGAAAAAUACGUCAUUUUCAAAUUAGCCAGGUUCAGCACCAGAAUUUAAUAUUCUCAUCCACAGUAUCAGUGUGAUUCUCAACAUGUAGGAGUGCUCCAGAAAUUCCUAUAUCAGUGCCUGAGUGACAAAAAUGAUGAACACUUAUAUAUAGAUUUUUCAACAAGACAUACCAAAUGGCUUCAUGAAGGAAACAUGUAGUUAUCUCCAUUUAACAGUGGGGGAAAAGGAGGCCCAGGAAAGUGCAGUGACUUUUUAAUGGUUACCCCAUCCCACCAGAGCUACUAACAGCCUCCGCUCUACGUCCUGUGCAUUUCAGUCUCAGAAGACCAUUCUUUAAAUUCUCAGAAACAUAAGAACAGUCAUUGCCCAGUGCUGGAAAAAGACACCAGAAAAGCACAGUGAAAUUAUGGAAUCAUAGAAUCAUAAAGGCUGGAGAAGACUACUAAGAUCACCCAGUCCAACCACGAACCCAUUCCCCCCGUGUCCACUAAACCAGGUCCCUCAGUGCCACAUCUAUGCUUCUCUUGAACACCUCCAGGGACAGUGACUCCAUCACUUCCCUGGGCAGCCUGUGCCAAUGCCUCAUUGCUCUGAGAAGAAAUUCUUCCUGAUAUCUGACCUGAACCUCCCUUGGGGCAAUUUAAGCCAUUACCUCUCAUCCUGGAAAGCUCCAGGGCUCCCGGAUGACAGCUGCCUUGACAAUGGCUAGAUGAGCAAGCAAGGAUACCAGAAGUGAAGCUGUGUGCAUCUCUUGCCUCUGUAAGGGAAAAAGGAACUCUUGGUCACAUCCCAACCAUGGAAAUAUCUCAAUAUUUUCAGUGCAUGAGAGAUAGAUACAAUAACAAAUAGCACAGUGAUUUUUACACCUAUGCUACAUAAUCAUUUAGCCACUUCUUCAGUUGCACAACAGAACUUUGCACUCUUUUGGAGUUUCAUUCUGCAGAGUGAAGAACAAGAGCAGUAGCUUUCAAUUAUUUUACAGGCACUGCAAUGUGGCAGCAAUGGAUUGCAGACAAUCAUGAGCUGAGUUUGAAACAGGCAGCUCUAGCACUUACAACAGGAUAAAGUGGCACAGGGAGCUCAGCACUUUAAUGCCAAGUAGGUUGUAUUUUGCCUCCCAAGCAACAUGGUCACAUGUGGAACUCCACAUAACCAUGGCUUCAAGCAUCCAGCUUUGCUAGCUUAUAUACCACUUUGCUGCAAUGAAGAGAUAUGGAAGCUACAAAGGAGGCCUAGCAAGGAGCAUUUCAUAUGCAGGCUUGAGGAUACUUAAAUAGAGUUGACUUCAAAUUGUUCUUUUGGGGAAAAAAAAAGACAACUAAAUCAGGAGAAAACAGGAUGUAUCUGAAUUGUUCUAACAAAUUCUUAAUGAUAAUUGAAAAUAUUUUAAGUUGAAACAACUCCUUUUCCUCUCCUGCUCCUUCAAGCUCUCUAAGGCUGUGUUUAGAAAACACUGAAGUCAAACUGACCACUUGGUAAAUGGGGGGUUCUGAAAUUAGUGAGGCUGAACCUCAGCUGAAGUUGUCUAAGCCAUUGGUUGCUGGCUUUGAAUUCGUUCUCAUAAAGUUGCUCACAGCAGCGACACAUUUGGAAAUGCAGAGAUGACUUAAGAAAAGGGUUAUAAAAGACUUUACUAAUGAAUGUGUGUCACAACUGCUUUGGCUCUUGUUCCCAUAGCAUACUUCCAACAAAAUCAAAUGUAGAUUCCUAAGGGCAUAAGUUGGAAGUCAUCCUGCCUCAAAGAGCUUGGACCUCUCUCUUAAGUAGGACAGAACUCUGCUGAGACCUCACGGAAGUAUUGACUGCAAAUGACUGUGGGCAACAAUUUCAAAGAACCUUCAGAGAUUUACUUGUAUAGUUAUUGUCUCUUAAGAGAGAGAGAGAGAGUUAAUAGGUACAGUUGCUUUAUUCAUGAAUCUCAGAAUUAAUUUUAAUCCAGCAUUCUAAUAAGUGUUCAAGGCAUUUUACUUCAUCGUUUUCAGGUCUUGUCCCCUAGACAAAAAGGUCUAUUUUUAACUUGUACCACUUCAAUCAAGUUACAACCUGAAAUUAGUAAUACAACUCAACCUACUAACUGGUGCAUGGAAUAGUUAAACAGAGGUCACAGUAAAUGCCAGCAGCACUUUCUGUAAAACAAAUACACAACAAGCAAAGACAUGACCAGUCAGUAAAUAAAGGUGAGUUGAAAUCAACUUUGUUGGAAAGGAAAAGUGUUAUAAUGAAAUUACAGUGCUUUGGAAGACUUAAAGUGAUGUCCACCAUAAAAGAUAAAAUUAAUUUACUGGAAAUAAACUUGUGAAUAUGAGUACCAUUUUGUGAAAGGCCAAGUUCUGACAUUUAGUAAAGCUGUAAAAAUGUUUUUGAAAGCAGCCCUUCAUUGUGAUUAUCACUGUUCUUAUGCAUUAAAAUUGAAAGAACUAAGAAAGACCAAAAAGG
ensembl:lncRNA